rnacentral:rRNA from 1 species
AUUGAACGCUAGCGGGAUGCUUUACACAUGCAAGUCGAACGAGUGGCGGACGGGUGAGUAAUAUAUCGGAACGUGCGCAGUCGCGGGGGCUGACUACUCGAACGAGUGGCUAAUACCGCAUACUAUUGGAUCGGCCGUUAUCGGAUUAGCUAGUUGGGGGGGUAAAGGCUCACCAAGGCAACGAUCCUUAGCUGGUUUGAGAGGACGACCAGCCACACUGGGACGGAGCCACGGCCGAGACUCGUACGUGAGGCAGCAGUGGGGGAUAUUGAAGAAUGGGCGAAAGCCUGAUGCAGCGACGCCGAGUGGGGGUGAAGGCUUUCGGGUUGUAAACCUCUUUCGCUACCGAAAGGGUAGGUGGAGAAGAAGCGACGGCUAACUACGUGCCAGCAGCCGCGGUAAUAC